rnacentral:rRNA from 1 species
GAUGAACGCUGGCGGCGUGCCUAAUACAUGCAAGUCGAGCGAACGGACGAGAAGCUUGCUUCUCUGAUGUUAGCGGCGGACGGGUGAGUAACACGUGGAUAACCUACCUAUAAGACUGGGAUAACUUCGGGAAACCGGAGCUAAUACCGGAUAAUAUUUUGAACCGCAUGGUUCAAAAGUGAAAGACGGUCUUGCUGUCACUUAUAGAUGGAUCCGCGCUGCAUUAGCUAGUUGGUAAGGUAACGGCUUACCAAGGCAACGAUGCAUAGCCGACCUGAGAGGGUGAUCGGCCACACUGGAGCUGAGACACGGUCCAGACUCCUACGGGAGGCAGCAGUAGGGACUCUUCCGCAAUGGGCGAAAGCCUGACGGAGCAACGCCGCGUGAGUGAUGAAGGUCUUCGGAUCGUAAAACUCUGUUAUUAGGGAAGAACAUAUGUGUAAGUAACUGUGCACAUCUUGACGGUACCUAAUCAGAAAGCCACGGCUAACUACGUG